UACGAAGGGGGCGAGCGUUGUUCGGAAUCACUGGGCGUAAAGGGCGCGUAGGCGGCCCUCCUUGUCGCGUGUGAAAGCCCCGGGCUCAACCUGGGAACGGCGCGCGAGACGGGGGGGCUGGAGUUCGGGAGAGGAGCGUGGAAUUCCCAGUGUAGAGGUGAAAUUCGUAGAUAUUCGCAAGAACACCAGGUGGCGAAGGCGGCUCACUGGCCCGGUACUGACGCUGAGGUGCGAAAGCGUGGGGAGCAAACAGG
rnacentral:rRNA from 1 species